GUGGGGGAUAUUGCGCAAUGGGGGAAACCCUGACGCAGCAACGCCGCGUGAUGGAAGACGGUCUUCGGAUUGUAAACAUCUGUUGCAAGGGAAGAAAAAAAUGACGGUACCUUGUGAGGAAGCCACGGCUAACUACGUGCCAGCAGCCGCGGUAAUACGUAGGUGGCGAGCGUUGUCCGGAUUUACUGGGUGUAAAGGGCGCGUAGGCGGGAAUAUAAGUCAGUCGUGAAAUACCGGGGCUCAACUCCGGGGCUGCGAUUGAAACUAUAUUUCUUGAGUGUCGGAGAGGAAAGCGGAAUUCCUAGUGUAGCGGUGAAAUGCGUAGAUAUUAGGAGGAACACCAGUGGCGAAGGCGGCUUUCUGGACGAUAACUGACGCUGAGGCGCGAAAGUGUGGGGAGCAAACAGGAUUAGAUACCCUAGUAGUCC
rnacentral:rRNA from 1 species